rnacentral:rRNA from 1 species
GAUGAACGCUAGCGGCAGGCUUAACACAUGCAAGUCGAGGGGCAGCAUACCCGGCAACGGGUGAUGGCGACCGGCGUAAGGGUGAGUAACGCGUGAGCAACAUACCCGUAUCAGGGAGAUAAUACAGGGAAACUUGUUCUAAUAUUCCAUAAUAUUAUCCAGAGGCAUCUUUGGAUACUUAAAGUUACGACGGAUACGGAAUGGCUCGCGUGACAUUAGUUAGAUGGUAGGGUAAUGGCCUACCAUGACUAUGAUGUCUAGGGGUUCUGAGAGGGAGGUCCCCCACACUGGAACUGAGACACGGUCCAGACUCCUACGGGAGGCAGCAGUGAGGAAUAUUGGACAAUGGAUGGAAAUCUGAUCCAGCCAUGCCGCGUGCAGGAAGGCGGCCCUAUGGGUUGUAAACUGCUUUUGUACGGGAGCAAUAAGGUCUACGAGUAGAUUGAUGAGAGUACUGUACGAAUAAGCAUCGGCUAACUCCGUGCCAGCAGCCGCGGUAAUACGGAGGAUGCGAGCGUUAUCCGGAUUUAUUGGGUUUAAAGGGUGCGUAGGCUGUUAUUCAAGUCAGUGGUAAAAGGUACAGGCUUAACUUGUAUGCGCCAUUGAUACUGAAUAGCUAGGAUAUGGAUGAAGUGUGCGGAAUGUGUGGUGUAGCGGUGAAAUGCAUAGAUAUCACACAGAACACCGAUAGCGAAGGCAGCACACUAAGGCAAUAUUGACGCUGAGGCACGAAAGUGUGGGGAUCAAACAGGAUUAGAUACCCUGGUAGUCCACACUGUAAACGAUGAUAACUAGCUGUUGGCGAUAGAAUGUCAGGAGCGAAGCGAAAGCGAUAAGUUAUCCACCUGGGGAGUACGGCCGCAAGGUUGAAACUCAA